AACGAACGCUGGCGGCAUGCCUAACACAUGCAAGUCGAACGAGACCUUCGGGUCUAGUGGCGCACGGGUGCGUAACGCGUGGGAACCUGCCCUUAGGGUCGGAAUAACUCCCCGAAAGGGGUGCUAAUACCGGAUAAUGUCUUCGGACCAAAGAUUUAUCGCCUUUGGAUGGGCCCGCGUUGGAUUAGCUAGUUGGUAUGGUAAAAGCCUACCAAGGCGACGAUCCAUAGCUGGUCUGAGAGGAUGAUCAGCCACACUGGGACUGAGACACGGCCCAGACUCCUACGGGAGGCAGCAGUGGGGAAUAUUGGACCAUGGGCGAAAGCCUGAUCCAGCAAUGCCGCGUGAGUGAUGAAGGCCUUAGGGUUGUAAAGCGCUUUUACCCGGGAUGAUAAUGACAGUACCGGGAGAAUAAGCCCCGGCUAACUCCGUG
rnacentral:rRNA from 1 species